UGUAACUUAAUGGUUAGAGUUAACCGCUCAUAACGGUUUUGUGUAGGUUCAAUUCCUGCCUG
rnacentral:tRNA from 1 species